UUAUGAUCAAACUGAAACUGUUGCACACUAUAUUUUGUUUACAAAAAAUUACAGCCAGUCCAUAACUGAUUGUUGACUACCAGAAUAAAUUAUACUGUAUUCUAGAUGCACAUUAUAUUAUAUAUGUAGGAACUGAAUAAAUAUGUUGCUGUGAUCUCAUUGUCGAGAGUUUCACUUAGCUUCACUGCACAAUGCAGCUAAGCUAGCUAGCUGUGUCUGUGUUCUACAAACAAGCUCUGCAUGCCCAUGCUUCACUUGCCACCUUGUGGUCUAGUGGCGUGCAAGAUUUACAAUUUGGUACACUACCACCAAACUAGAUACUAAGCAAUUUCUGCUAGUACAGCCAAACUGCUUGUACCCAACAAAGACCAUCUACGUCAACGGGAUGUGCCUCUUCAACAACAACACCAGCGCCCGGGUCACCACCACCAGCCUCAUCAUCCAUGAGAUGGACUCCUACAACCAAGCCAACUUGGCUUCACUGUAAAGAAAAAUGGAAACAUCACUUUCUUUAUUUUAUAGCAUAUAGUAUAUGUGCAGUAUCCCUUCUGAAUUUUUGCUUCACUUUUCCUAUCUUUUAUUUUUCUUUUCCAUCUUAGUCAUCUCUAUUCAUUCACCCGCAAAAAAAAUAGUUAUCUCUAUUCAUUGUCAAGGCCUUUCAGUAAGUUGUAAUAGCUAGUGGAAGAUGUCAGGUUACAAAGCUAGAGUUGUACAUCACACCAGUCCAAUUUCGACAGAGAAUUUUUACUUCCAAAUUUUCAGUUGGUCAAUACUGUCUCAGGCUAACAACAAUUGCAGGAGGACAGUACCGAUGUGACCAUAAAAUGCACAAGAAAUACAUAUGAUUCUUCACACACUGUAUAACACUUUGCGCUGUUAUAUAUAUCAGGUAUCUAAAAUACACUGACCUGGCCAUGCUGGGGUUCUUGGGCAUGCAGCCAGUGACUUCUGCAAUUCCUGAUAUUCAAAUUGCAGUAUAACUGUUCUUCAGGGGCAUUUCUCCAGUAAGUUCUUCCCAGUACUUGCUGCAGCUUGUUCUCCAGUAGCUAAUGGUGACAAAACUGCAAUGACCUUGUCCAAGCAGAACUGCUAGAAAUAUACCCUUUACAUGACUCACAUUGCCAUCAAGUACCCAUAUGGCAACCAGGCACUAAACUUCAACAAGGGAUUGGUUCAGGCAUCACAUUGGCAUUGUUUUAGGCUGCCUGUGGAAACACUUCGGUUGCGUAACAAAAGUCUUGGAGAUUUGGAAGCCAAGCUAAUAACAGAGACUCGGUG
rnacentral:lncRNA from 1 species